GGCCGCUCCCCUAGGGUGUCACACUCCCUGUGAACAAUGGCCUCUACUUCCGCUGCCAAGAGGAGGGCCACCGUGUGAGGAAUUGCCCCAACGAAGCCCAAUGCCGUGCAGAUGUGAUUUCGUGUAUGAGUUUCAUUGUUUCUAUGUGUUAAUUUUGCAGCCUCGUGUUUUUUUUUGGUCUGGCUUAGUAAGCACUGAACCAUACAGUUUAGUCUCAUUUCCACAAUAUUGCUUGAAUAUAGGAUGGCUACAUGAUCAAAUAUAUCUCUGACAAUCAGCUUUUGUUUCUCCAGCUUUCCUUAUGACGAUUAGGCUUGAUUUUUGAAAUCUCUGUAGAGUUGAAGCAUUAAAAAUAGAUGGGUGCUAUUGCUCCGAGAGGAUACUUUCAAGGUGAUAUUGUUUUUUUUUCAUAGAUAAUUGACUGCUCAGUUCUGGCCAUUUUCAAUAUGAAUUCUUAUAUAUAUUUUCUUCUGUGGUCUAUGAAAAGAAAUGACUUGGUGAUGCAUAUACACACCUUUGUACGAAGGUUAUUUAGACAUGGGAGUGAACUGUCAGAUAACACUAAUAACAGAGAUUUGUUAUAUGUUAGUUAAUAUCCUGGCGUUCAAAUGUUUGGUAGUAUCUAUUUCACUUGCACCAGUGUCAACCAUUUUCACCUCUUAUGAGCUAUCAUGUUUGACCUUCGAUCAAUCUUGCAAUAUUCAUCUUACUGCCACCAAGCUUUAUUUUAUAUAUUACAUGUGUUUUACUCUAUAGCUUGCUAGCUUCUUUUGAUUUUCUUUGUAUUAUGUCUUUUCCAGUCGUAGGCCAUUUGCAUGUGUCGUGUCUCUCCAACAUAUGAACUUAACAACCACAAAUAAAAACAACGGUAUCUCAUGCUAAAUUGUGUGUAACCGUCCAAGUGGGGUAUAAAAUCUGAAUAUUGGGGGAUAUAAGCAAAAGAUUUAUGCAAAUCUAAGCAAGCAGCAGAUAUUAAUAUAACUUCCAUAAGUAAUGUAGUACCGACAGGUUAUUCCUACGAUUGAUGGUCAUCCCAAACUAAAGAAAGGAUUAGAAGUACUUCAAUUACUACCCUCAAGGGCGGCAGCCGCAAGGUCAAUGAGAACAAGCUCCUCUCCAAGAAGAAUAGGUCUGUUCCAUCCUUCACUCCGCCGGACGCCGGCGCAUCUUUUUCCUCAGUCGGAAGAGCUUCGGAUUUGGAAGAGGGUGCGGACAAUCAAGGGAGCUGCUGCUGUUACAGCAGCACAACAGCACCACAAGAGACAACAGGAGAAUGAGAAGGAACUGCGGCGCAAGAUUUGAGGGCCUAUUGGUGAGGUGGUUCUUCAGUGCGGGUGAGUCGGUGGCUGUUUACCACAGGUGGCUUUUGUUGGUACUUGGGUUGAUCCUUCAGGCCCAUAUGAUGGUAAGGUGGAUUAAGGAGGUGAUGAAGUCAUUGCGGAGCUUCGUACUGAUUUCCAUCUGGUCCCUGCCAUCUUCUCUACAGUUUCUUAUGUUACAUGGUUUGGCAAUAUGUCAUAAGUUCUGCAGUCCGUUUAUUCUGAUUUUCUUAUCUUACUGAUUUAGGUUAACACCUAUCAUGAUAUUUGUCAUUUAGCAGGACAUAUGUUCUUCAUAUACAAUAUGCAUGACUUCUAAGUUUCAUAAUAUUUGUUUAUUCAAUCACAAGUCUCCUACUUUCUGAUUGCUCUCAUGGCGGUAUUUGCGUAAGCUGAGUACCAAAACUGCAUAUAUAGUGGACAUUUUAUUUAGUAUUUCACACUUGAUUCAUUCGAAUGACUAUAGGCAAAGUAGAUUGGUAUAUAGUUAAAUUUGUUGCUACCUGAGUUCUAUUCUCCUUUGGUAAUCCCAUGUUGCUGAUCUUUGCCUUCAGCCUGGAGUUUUAUUGUGCCGAUGUCGGUGUACUUACCAUCCCUGCUCCGGCUCUCCGCCUCUGCCACAGACGUGCAGCACCGAGACAUGGAGCGCUUGCUACAUGGUGUCACAUACUGACGUCUAAUAUUUUCUCUGCAUGGUUUGCAGAUAGAGACUGAUAUAGAUGAUGACCAGAUCUUAAACUGAGGUCUUCCAAAUUUAUUGAUAAUGCUUCUUCUCUACCACAUUUAUUGACUUAUUCUUCUACACUUUCUACUGAUGCAAACUUUGCAGCCGAGUUACGAGGCAUGACUCCUGCAUGUUUAUUAUGCACAUGCCUCACCAUAUUGUCUUCAUUCUUAAUAUAGGCUAUGUUUAAAUGGAGAUCACAUCAAGAAGAACAUCAGUGUAUAUUUUCUUUAUCUGCUCCCUUACUGCAGGUUAUAAAUAGAUCAAGUUAGUAAUGUAGAGACGGUUGGAUUCAGGGAAAUAUGACCAAUUACAUGAUUCAUUAUAUUGUCUUAAGUGACUAUGGGACUUCGUAUGCUCUUAUCAUUUUGUGUUAAAAAAUAUUGAAUUAAUUGUUUGAAUUACAAGUUUAUUUUGUGGUUUCCUUUUUCUCUCUUUGAUUUGUGUACCUUGGCAAACUAGGGGUUCGGUGCUACCUUUUGCGGGUCUGCUGCAAAGUACCUCGGUUUUCUGAUUCUUUUAUGUCCUAGGCUUUCCUAUUUAUUUUGAGAUGCUUAACUGUAGGUGCCCAGGUUUUCAUAGUUCAUGCCUUCAUGGCAUGUUCACCAAACUUUAGAAACUGCUAUCUUGGAUAUGUUCUUUGGCGUAUCUGAACUUAUGACUGCAAGUAUAUGAGCCAAUUAUUACAUCUUCUUUGAUUUUGCAUUUUGAGGACAGAGCUUUCGUGCUCAUUUCCGCACCAUUUCUGUCCACACAAAACGUUUUCACAAGAGCUUGAUCAUUACUGAGACUGAUAUGAGCUUUGGUAAACUGCAUGUGCAGAGAGCAACGGGUAGAUAGGAAGGUUGCCAACAAGUUCAAGAAAUGAUGGCAAGAAGAGAGGAAGCUGACAAGCAUACACUACAACACCAAAGAAAAGGUGCACUGCAAUUUAUCACGCAUGCCCCCAGAUAAGAGUUGGACACAUUUUUUUCUUUUUUUCAGUGCAACUUGUGAGAAAAAGAAGUCAUCAGCUUCCAACGAUUAUUACUAGCUAAGUAGAACAACAAAUUCUCCAAGCCUCCAAUAGGUCAUUCUUCUAAAGACAAUUUUACAUUAGCUAAGCAGACAGGCUAUUAGUUUUUCCAGUAAUUUGUCUUUAAACCUACUGUAAUUUUAUAGACAUGUAUCUAUCUAUCUUGCUCAUUAUAAUAUUCUCUUUCAUAUA